GCCGGCGUAGCUCAAGGGAAGAGCGGCGUCCUUUUAAGUCGUUCGAUGCGAGUUCGAAUCUCGCCGCCGGUCCCA
rnacentral:tRNA from 1 species